rfam:Immundisolibacter cernigliae strain TR3.2, complete genome.
UCCCCGGUAGCUCAGUCGGUAGAGCAAGUGACUGUUAAUCACUGGGUCGGCGGUUCGAGCCCGUCCCGGGGAG